rnacentral:rRNA from 1 species
CAAAAACAUGUCUUGUUGAUUUAUAAUAUUAAGUCUAGUCUGCUCAAUGAAUAUAUUUUAAUAGCCAUGGUAUUUUAACCAUGCAAAGGUAGCAUAAUAAUUUGUCUUUUAAUUGAAGGCUUGAAUGAAUGGUUGGAUGAGGGAUAAACUUUCUUAAUCUAAAAUAUUUUGAAUUUAAUUUUUAAGUGAAAAGGCUUAAUUUUAGUUGUGGGACGAGAAGACCCUAUAGAAUUUUAUUAAUAUUUCUAUUUUUAUUUUUAGGUAAAAGUUAAUUAAUAGGGCUAGAAAUAUUAAUUUGAUUGGGGUGAUUGUGGAAUUUAAUAAACUUCCAUUAUUAAUUAUUUCAAUAGUUAUUGUGUUUUUGAUCCUUUAUUAUGGAUAAAAAGAUUAAAUUACCUUAGGGAUAACAGCGUAAUUUCUUUGGAGAGUUCUUAUCAAUAAAGGAGUUUGCGACCUCGAUGUUGGAUUAAAGUUAAUUAAUAGUGCAGAAGCUAUUUAAUUGGGUCUGUUCGACCUUUAAAUCUUUACAUGAUCUGAGUUC